rnacentral:rRNA from 1 species
GAUGAACGCUGGCGGCGUGCCUAAUACAUGCAAGUCGAGCGAACGGACGAGAAGCUUGCUUCUCUGAUGUUAGCGGCGGACGGGUGAGUAACACAUGGAUAACCUACCUAUAAGACUGGGAUAACUUCGGGAAACCGGAGCUAAUACCGGAUAAUAUUUUGAACCGCAUGGUUCAAAAGUGAAUGACGGUCUUGCUGUCACUUAUAGAUGGAUCCGCGCUGCAUUAGCUAGUUGGUAAGGUAACGGCUUACCAAGGCAACGAUGCAUAGCCGACCUGAGAGGGUGAUCGUCAUGACUAGCACCGAGCCACCCACCCGACUCCUACUUUCCGCGACUGUGGGCAAUAUUCCUAAUCGGGCGAAAGCGUGUCGUAACUACUCCACGUGAGUGAUGAAGAACUUCGGAUCGUAAAACGCUAUUAUUAGGGUAGACCAUAUGUGUAAGUAACUGCGCACAUCGUGACGGUGCCUUAUCAGAAUGCCCCGGCUAACUACGUG